GCGGUGAGCAGAGCUGCUGGUCGCGCGAGGAUUUCUCUGAACUAAAAGGGGGACAUUAUGAGCUCCGGGGACACCGUCUGGACGCCGCUCACUGUGGACGAGUCGACCGUCUCCUCAGGAGCCACAGAUGCAUCGACUCCCCUGAACCUGGAGACAGGCUGAACGUCUCACCGGUUUUUGGCCAUAAAUGUCAGAAAGUGUGUGUG